CACCUGUUCUGAUCUGAAGCUUUAAGAAAGACAACAGUACCGUACUACUUUUGUUAAAAUAUUAUCCUGAAAUAAAACUAGACUGUUGUCAUGUAGCUUCCCAAUUCAUAUUUCUAUGGCGUGCCUUCAACUUCAGCACCACUGCACAGUAGCGGCCCGUUGACUCCUCGGCCACGCGGAAUCGGCUGCGCUCACCCACGGCAGCAAACUCAAGAACAGAUUGGUCAGCAAGACGAUCAUGGGAUUACUGCUAGCAGCCUAGCAUGGUACAUGAAUUUGGUUUCCCAUUUGGACAGCAGGUGGUAGGAUCAAAAUAUUGGCAGGUAUCCUUGACCGGGAGUGAUAUGAUUGUGAGGGGUAACUUGUCCAACAAAUAUCUAAUCCUGAUGGCUUUGCGUGGUUCUGCUGCAACAAAAUGGGAGUCUCUGCUUGGUGAUGAGGAGGAUGUCAUUGAGGUAGAAAUAGUCACCCGAUUUUCAAUUCGAUAGAAUAGUACACGAUGCGAAAGCUGGAUGGUGUUCAGCCUUGGUUCAGGAGUGAUAUGGUCAACAGACAAAUCUUGGAAAGCUACUCUGAUGUCAGGUGAACGGCACGCAGUUUUUUCUCUUAUAAUUUUCAGGGGUAUUCUUGCAAUAUCCUUUUGUGCGAUUGUGCUACAUAUUCUUCCUAUUUCUGUUUCCUUUUAAUGGAAAUCCUAAAUCUGUCU